rnacentral:lncRNA from 1 species
AUGGGACAUUGUUAGCCUGACCAUCGUUAGAGCAUUGUGACACAUUCGAUGCCCCCCUUCAUAUCCUCAUGAUGACUGGUGGUGAGCUCUCUCCUCUUGAAAUAGGACCUCAAAACUAGUCGAGGCCCUUCCUCUAGCACCAAGUGUUGCUUCUGAUCUCCCCUCCUGAGGUCAGAUGCCAAUGUUGAUGUGGCCGAGG